rnacentral:rRNA from 1 species
AACGAACGCUGGCGGCAUGCUUAACACGUGCAAGUCGAACGAGACCUUCGGGUCUAGUGGCGCACGGGUGCGUAACGCGUGGGAAUCUGCCCUUAGGUACGGAAUAACUCAGAGAAAUUUGUGCUAAUACCGUAUGAUGUCGAAAGACCAAAGAUUUAUCGCCUAAGGAUGAGCCCGCGUAAGAUUAGCUUGUUGGUGAGGUAAAAGCUCACCAAGGCGACGAUCUUUAGCUGGUCUGAGAGGAUGAUCAGCCACACUGGGACUGAGACACGGCCCAGACUCCUACGGGAGGCAGCAGUGGGGAAUAUUGGACAAUGGGCGAAAGCCUGAUCCAGCAAUGCCGCGUGAGUGAUGAAGGCCUUAGGGUUGUAAAGCUCUUUUGUCCGGGAAGAUAAUGACUGUACCGGAAGAAUAAGCCCCGGCUAACUUCGUGCCAGCAGCCGCGGUAAU